rnacentral:rRNA from 1 species
UGAGGGUGCAAGCGUUAAUCGGAAUUACUGGGCGUAAAGCGCACGCAGGCGGUCUGUCAAGUCGGAUGUGAAAUCCCCGGGCCUAACCUGGGAACUGCAUUCGAAACUGGCAGGCUGGAGUCUUGUAGAGGGGGGUAGAAUUCCAGGUGUAGCGGUGAAAUGCGUAGAGAUCUGGAGGAAUACCGGUGGCGAAGGCGGCCCCCUGGACAAAGACUGACGCUCAGGUGCGAAAGCGUGGGGAGCAAACAGGAUUAGAUACCCUGGUAGUCCACGCCGUAAACGAUGUCGACUUGGAGGUUGUUCCCUUGAGGAGUGGCUUCCGGAGCUAACGCGUUAAGUCGACCGCCUGGGGAGUACGGCCGCAAGGUUAAAACUCAAAUGAAUUGACGGGGGCCCGCACAAGCGGUGGAGCAUGUGGUUUAAUUCGAUGCAACGCGAAGAACCUUACCUACUCUUGACAUCCAGAGAACUUAGCAGAGAUGCUUUGGUGCCUUCGGGAACUCUGAGACAGGUGC